UCCCAAGUGGCUCAGUGGUAAAGAAUCUGCCUGUCAAUGCGGAAGAUUCAGGUUCAAUCCCUGGGUUGGGAA
rnacentral:tRNA from 1 species